UGAUCAUUUUAAUUAGAUAGUAAGCAUCGUGUAAAAGCAGGAUAAAUACAUGGCACUUUGCCUUCUAAAUCAGGAAGCAGCUUACACUGGGUAAUAACUUUUGAGACUAAUAGAUGCUGUUAUUCGCUCACUCCCCCCCCCCCAUCAUUCCAGACCCCAGAUUAUUUAAAACAGUUAACUGUAUCACGUUUGGGUAAUCUGCAAUUAGGUGAUUUGUCUGAGCAAUCGAAAGGAAAGGCACUUGCUCAUCAGCACUCUGUGAAUUGAUGUGGGCAUUGCUUUCUUUCCCUCUUGUUUUAAUUUCUUUACUCUCACCCCCUCUCCCGUUCACUGCAAACAGAUGGAUACGUUUGCUGCAGCAUCAGUCAGCAAGAUCUCCAAAAAGUACCGCAACAUCUGUGCAAGGGUUGAGCUUUCUCAGAACUAAGUGAAUGUUGUUCAACUGCAGUAUUUCAUUUAACAGCAGCAACAACAAGCAACAAUGGGAGGGGGUGCCUUAUGGGCUCUGUUUUGACCUAGAAAUUCUUCUCCAUAACCACCUAGUUAAUUUAAGGAGGAAGGAAAGCAGGAAAAUGCAGGACUAAGAGAUCUGGGAGUUUGAAAAUCCCAUCAACAUUAACAGCUAAACACAACUCCACCCGGUAGUGUGUUCUGUCAAUUUAUUCCUAUGUGGCUUGGAGGUGGAACAUAUGCUUUGCAUGCAGAAGGCCCCAAGUUCAAUCCACAGCAUCUUCAGGUAGGGCUGGGAAUGUUCCCUACCCGAAACCCUGGAGAACCACUGCUAGUCAGUUCAGACCUUGCUGAGCUAGAUGGACCAAUGUUGUGUGAGAGUAAGCUUACUGUGUUAUGCUUUGCUUCCAUGUUGGCAUGUCAUCUACUUCUCAUCUUGCCAUUGGGAAUUUAUCUUGCCCCCUAUUUGAGGCAGGGGUGGGGAAACUCAAGCUGGAGGGCCAAAUGCAACCCUGCAGGAUUCUGUGCCUAGCCCUUAGGACUCAACAACAACCCUUAGGACCACAACAACAUUUCUACCCACACCCCCUCUUUCCUAGGCCACAUCUCUCACCAGCCUUGCUUGGAUCCACCCUAGAGUGUUAUUGCUUGGCUAGGAUGUGUCCUUAACUCAGAUAAUGCCCCUUGCUUGACUGGUUGGGAAAAGUGUAUGUGUGCAGGCACACAUAUGUAGAAACCUCUGUGGUUCACGUGGCUGGAAUGUAGCCUAUAGUAUAAAGUCACACCCAUUGCUCUGUCCACUGUAGCCCUCAGCCCUGACCACUGGUGCUACGCGACUCCUGGAAGGUUGGACCUCUUGCUGAAUCUGGACCGUUUGCUGAAAAACUUUUCCCCCAGCCUUGUUCCUAAGGUUUAAUUCUUACUCUUACGCAGGAGGUAAACAUGUUUCUGGGAUGUUCCAGUUUGUUAUUUAUUUAUUUGCUAAUCAUUUUUAUACCACCAGCAUUAAGAACAAAUAUACCAUAGAGGUGUGCAACAUAAAAGCAACAAUAAAACUACAUUAAUAAAGCAAGUACAAAAUACAUAGCAAAUCAGCAUAGUUAUAUCACCCCUCGGAAUGUCUGGUUGCGGGUGUGCAGCAGCUUGCAAGGAUGGAGAAGACUGCAAGAUUUAAUUGUCUUCCAUAUGAAAACAAGAAAAAGCACUAGCAUUGCAAGGGAAAAGGUCCUAAGUUAGCCUUCUUGACACACUAAUUUUGUGGGCAAGAUGUUGCCGCACAUGGAAAUGGGUGAAUCUGUCAGUUUCGGUUUAUCUCCCCUGCCCCUCAACCUUAAAUUCAGGUCUCCAUAAGUUUGAUACUAUUAUUUUAAAACUCUGUGAAAAUUCAAAAGCAUUUUGGUUAAUUUCCCCCCUAAUACACACAUUUUUGAAUGCAAUGUUGCCUUACGCCAUUCUUGCAGAGCCAUUUUUCUAAAUAUAAUGCAUUUUUAUUUGUUUUAUUCACUAAUAUAUACAUUUAUUUGCACACUUUCUGGAGGUGUGGAAAUUUUGAGGGGUGAAGCUUGCCUCUUUCCUCCCCUCUGAAAGUGCAAGUUAAGUAAGUCCGCCUUUAAAUAAGAACUGAAUGGAAUCCGCUCCCUAAUCACACAUAAUUAUUUAUUGCUGCUGAUACCUGCUGCUCAUUUGCUUGCCCAUAGAACCACCUCUGAAAGGCACUCACCCUAUGCUUUUCAUUCUUUCUCACACUGCUUCCUUGCUUAGAGAGGCCAAUUGGUCAGGGAGCCUCAGGGCAGGAGGCUGCAGCCAGCCCCCUAUCAGAAUGUUGCCAUCAGCAAGUACCAAUCUAUACAAAGUGCUGCCCCCAGAACUGCAAGUUUAUCCUAUCUCUUUUUCCCUUUUAGGAUGCAACAAUAUUUUUAUUUUUAUUGGGAGUCAUCACUGAAUAGGUGGAUCAAUGCAUCUGGUUUAGUAUAAGGCAGCUUCCUCUGUUCCAAAUAUGUACAACAAGAUGUUUUGAAACUUCAACACUUUAUUUAAAAAAACAUGGUGGCAGAAAGUAGGGCCAGUUUACAGUUCCUUAACGUACACAUAACCUUAAAAGUUCACAUGACUGUCACUCAGCUCUUGAAGAUAAAUUCUGAGUGUCCGUCCUCUUUUUGGAAACCACUUUGAGGUUUUGGUUUUUUUCUUCCACCAGCAGUACAUGGAUAUCAUGAAAUAAAAUAAAUAAAUAUUGCCUGCCUCCCUCUUCCCAUAUG